rnacentral:lncRNA from 1 species
UAAAUGGGGGCCUUCUCCUAUUUUUCAUCUCCCGACUGGUUUUUGGAAAUUUAUUCGAUUUAUAUUUUCAACGGAUUCAGGAAGCAAAAAAUAAAAUAUUUACAUAUUUCAAACAUGCAAAAAUAUAUUAAAUUAACACGUUUGUUUUAACUAGUCAUAAAUUCUAUACUAUUUCUUUUUGCUUCUAUUUGAAAAUUUAUUCUCGCCGGUUGGAACUUGUAGGCAUCGGAUCUCAC